CUCUUACGCGAUGACGCUACAGUGCGUAAGUAAAUCCCGCCUCUUGACGUCAUCCCUGUCAGCCGAGCGUUACUGCUGCGUUGCACUUGAAACGGAGCAGUUAAAGAAGAAAAAAACACAAAAUGACGACUCGGAUUAUGCAUGCGGCGAAAUGCCUUUCAGACGAACUGGCACUGACUAACUGUGUUUAUGUCAAUGACAAGGAUCCACCGUUUGAGGCACAUGUGAUUGUGCGGAAUUCAAACCACAAGUUUGUGUUCUCACUGAGGACGCAUCCAAGUGUCAACUCCGGGACUAUUGCCUUCAGUUUACCACAGCGAAAAUGGGCAGGUUUGUCAAUUGGCCAAGAGAUCGAGGUCACAAACUACAAGUUUGACAGGUCCAAACAGUGUGUCAGUACCAUGACAGUGGAGAUUGACUUCCACAAUAAGAAGAUGGUAGACAGUAACCCAUAUGACUCUGACAAGAUGGCCAGUGAAUUUGUCCAGCACUUCAACAACCAGGCCUUCAGUGUGAACCAGCAGCUGGCAUUUAGUUUCAGUGAUAAACUGUUCAGCCUGUUGGUGAAAGAUAUGGAAGCCAUGGAUCCCAGUAUCCUGAAGGGAGAUGGUGGUGGCAAGAAGCAGAAGAUUUCAAUUGGUUUGCUGCUGGGAAACAGUCAGGUUGUUUUUGAAAAGUCAGAGACCUCGUCUGUAUCUCUAAUUGGAAGAUCCAAGACCAGAGAGUCACGUCAGUCCAUCAUCAACCCAGAAUGGAAUUUUGAGAAAAUGGGGAUUGGUGGUCUGGACAAGGAGUUUUCUGACAUCUUCCGUAGAGCCUUUGCCUCUCGAGUCUUCCCUCCAGAUAUAGUCGAUCAGAUGGGCUGUAAGCAUGUGAAGGGAAUCCUGCUCUAUGGACCCCCAGGCUGCGGUAAGACCCUGAUGGCCCGACAGAUUGGCAAGAUGCUCAAGGCUCGGGAGCCAAAGAUCGUCAACGGCCCAGAGAUUCUCAACAAGUAUGUUGGCGAGUCCGAAGCCAACAUCAGGAAGCUGUUUGCAGACGCUGAGGAUGAACAGAAGAGGCUGGGUGCCAACAGCGGACUACACAUCAUCAUCUUUGAUGAGAUCGAUGCCAUCUGUAAACAGCGGGGCAGCAUGGCAGGCAGCACAGGAGUCCACGACACCGUGGUCAACCAGUUACUGUCUAAGAUUGAUGGAGUCGAGCAACUUAACAACAUCCUGGUCAUAGGUAUGACUAACCGGCCGGACCUGAUAGAUGAGGCCCUGCUGAGACCUGGAAGACUAGAGGUGAAGAUGGAGAUUGGCUUACCAGACGAAAAGGGCCGCAUCCAGAUCCUACACAUCCACACAACAAAGAUGCGACAGUACGAGCUUCUAGCCAGAGAUGUGGACAUUCAAGAGUUGGCUGUAGAAACAAAGAACUUCAGUGGUGCUGAACUGGAGGGUUUAGUCAGAGCAGCACAAUCAACUGCAAUGAACCGACAUAUCAAGGCCAGUAAUACUGUGGAGGUAAACAUUGAGACAGCGGAGAAGCUGCUGGUCAGCCGACUGGACUUUAUGGCCUCGUUGAAUAAUGACAUCAAACCCGCCUUUGGCACCAACCAGGAAGACUAUGCCAGCUACAUUAUGAAUGGUAUCAUUCGAUGGGGUGACCCAGUGUCAGCAGUGUUGGAGGAUGGAGAGCUGCUGGUUCAGCAAACAAAAAACAGCGACCGAACACCACUUGUCUCUGUUCUCCUGGAAGGUCCACCCAAAAGUGGUAAAACAGCGUUGGCCGCUAAGAUUUCAGAAGACUCCCAGUUUCCCUUCAUCAAGAUAUGCUCCCCCGACAAGAUGAUCGGGCACUCUGAGAUUGCUAAAUGUCAAGCUAUCAAAAAGAUAUUUGACGAUGCCUACAAAUCCCAGCUGAGCUGUGUUGUUGUAGAUGACAUUGAGCGACUUUUAGACUUUGUCCCAAUUGGUCCUCGUUUCUCCAACCUGGUUCUCCAAGCUCUGCUGGUGUUGCUGAAUAAACUGCCACCAAAGGGUCGAAAGCUGCUGAUCAUUGGUACUACGAGUCGAAAAGAUGUUCUCCAGGAAAUGGGGAUGUUAGAUGCUUUUAGCACCACCAUCCAUGUCCCCAACAUCUCAAGGGGAGAACAGCUGAUUGAGGCUCUGGAGCUACUGGGCAGUUUCCACGAGAAAGAGCGGGCCUUGAUAGCCAAAGCUGUAAAGGACAAAAGCCUCUGGAUUGGCAUUAAAAAGUUAUUAAUGCUGAUAGAAAUGGCUGCUCAGAUGGAUCCUGACCACAGAGUUAGCAAGUUCCUCAGCUUGAUGAAGGAUGAAGGAGCGCUGGUUUCUGAUAAGUUUGUGGCGAUAUAGACUUGGAGAAGCUCCAGUGGGAAACGAAGCAUCCUGCAGUGGCUGUGAUGCUGAAACUGUGGAUUUGUACUCACCACCAAAUGGGAUAGCCUCCAAGCACCCGUGAGCUGGACAACCACACACACAUCAAAUAUCCAAUCAGAUACAAAUCCAUGAGGAUGCCUCAUCCACAGGCCCCAAUAUUAAAGGGCCACUCUUUGAGAAUCACUGCCAAAGUCUGACAGAAGAUUUCAAAUGUGAAGAUUUAACACUAAAGCAUGGCUCCACAGCAUUGUUGGACCAGAUGGAUCACCUCACAGCAGACUGCGAAUAUGCAGCCAUAUGGAAACCAGCCUCUGGCUGCUCUGUUUCCAACUGCCGUUGUCUCUGCGAGGAGAAACCUUCAGGGUGUGAUUGAGCUGGGCGGGCUGAAGGGGCGAGAAGGUCACUCAGCAGGGUCCGAGAGUGUGGAUUGCAGAGAGAGGAGGCCGAGUGCCCACUGCAGAGAGAGAUCUCAGUGACCAGAGUCUGGAGGUCAGUCAUGGAGCGCCCCCACCCAUUUACCCAGCCCCUCUGUGUUUUUAUUCUUCCGUAACAAAGAGGAUGGGGAAACAGGCAGUGACUGAGCAGCACUCGACCUACCACCCAGCUUUAGUCUGGGGUGGGGGGUGAGGGUGAGGGGUGAGGGGUGGGGGGUGUCCUGUGAGUCUCUAAAUGUGACAAUAAUUGAUAGACAUCUUUGUGAAACUUUUGUGAAGCCAGUCUUCAUCCACUCCUGGUGGGGAGUCUUCUAUAUUAUACCAAUAAAGAUGUCUUUUUAAUGCCUCCAGUCAAGAUGCGAUAUGUCACGGCAGUGCUGACAAUGAGGCAGGUCUGUUUUCCAUCAUGAACAUUGUCGUGGGUUACGGCGUUGUCAAAUAUGUGCCGAGCUCAGCUCAGGGAUUUGGAUAAGAGCUCCACUGCAGGAGUGAUAGACUGUGAGCAGGGCCAGGGAUGGAUGAUAGGGAUGUGACACUGGCUCUGAUUUAUGACCCCAGUCUGCAGUCUGCAUCUGAAUAACCUCGAAAAAAACUGGGAUUGCCAGGUCAAAGCCACAAGUGCAGAGCGAACAGUGAGUAAGGUCAAGAACGCGGGAGGAGUUGUGGUGCAGCGUUGUGCAGGAGAAGGCCUCAGUCUGAGUGUCUGCGUCGGUAGCUGGGACAGGAGGGGGAGGCGCGUACAGAGAGCUCCCCUACCGGGCCGGUUUCUACGGUGACUUGAGAAAGGCCGUAACCAGGUCCGGCUCUUUCUCAGGCCCUAAUCAGCGUAUUACCACAAAGAAGGACAUAUGUUCUCCCCCUCCCCGCCGCCUCCCACCUCUCCACCCUCUCCACUCAUUCUGACCGGCAUGGCUGGACACAGGCAGCCAAUAAAACCAGGAUUAGGAGGGUAUCUACACACACUGGGCUGAAGCGACAAAGUUUCUGAACACGCCCCAAUCCCACCCUACUCCGUUCACAAACCUCUUUUCAUGGUUCCUCAUCUGUCUCCCAUUCCUGCCAUCGUUCACUUUAUUCCACUCGCUCCCAUGUUUGUAUCCUCGCUCUGCCUCUUCUCUUUUCAGAGCGCUCACCCCGUAAGCUGUCCACACAAUAGGACAUCCAGAAAUUACUCAUUUUACCAAAGGAGUUCAGCAAAUUCCCAAUGCCUCUUGUCCGGCUCUUUUCUUUACCGUCUGGAUCCUGUGCUCUUUGCUGUUAUGAUAAUGAAAUGAGUUGGCAUCACAAAGACAAAGCUAAAGCUGGAAGGAAGAGAUUAUGAAAAUUUGGGCUUUUAAAUUUUUUUUUUUUUUUUUUACAUAUUAUGAAAAGAGGACAUUACUGUUCCUAAAAUGUUGUGAUCACGAAAACCAAAUCUGUUCACUUCAAAUCAGCCAAAAAGUUGGGGGUAUUUACAACAACAGCUAACAUCUGUAGCUUAGCAGUGCACCACCACUGCAUGAACUAAGUACUUUUUGUAGAACAUUGACUUUUUUAGAAAUUGGUAUCAUUUGGAUAAUUAACAACCCAUUCACUUUUUAAUUACAUUAUAAAAUAGUCAUUUAUGAACUGAGGAUAACAGUUGUUGUUUUUUCUCAUACUUGCUACUAGACUUAACAACACAUGGCUUUUUUUUUAAAUAAGCAUUCAAUGAUCAUCCUGCUUUAUUGUCCUGAAACAUCUUAAUUGCAGCGGCAGUGUCUUAUUCCAAUUUCAAAUUAGCAUCCUUACCAAAGGAAAAUCCAUUCAAACAGCCUGUAUGGUUUUCUUCACCAUUGGCAUCAAGCAGUUUCAUUUGAUUAUGCUAAGCUAAUAGAAUAACCAGUGUUUUCAGUAGAAAUAAAUAAAUAACCCAA